AGAUUGAACGCUGGCGGCAGGCCUAACACAUGCAAGUCGAGCGGUAGAGAGGUGCUUGCAUCUCUUGAGAGCGGCGGACGGGUGAGUAAUGCCUAGGAAUCUGCCUAGUGGUGGGGGAUAACGUUCGGAAACGGACGCUAAUACCGCAUACGUCCUACGGGAGAAAGCGGGGGACCUUCGGGCCUCGCGCCAUUAGAUGAGCCGAUGUCGGAUUAGCUAGUUGGUGAGGUAAUGGCUCACCGAAGGCGACGAUCCGUAGCUGGUCUGAGAGGAUGAUCAGCCACACUGGAACUGAGACACGGUCCAG
rnacentral:rRNA from 1 species